GAGCUUCCCAUGGCGCCUGUUUAUCAAAAACAUGGUUUUUUGAGUUAAUAAAAAAUCUGAUCUGCUCCAUGCAUAUGUAAAUAGCCGCAGUAUUAUGACUGUGCUAAGGUAGCAUAAUCAUUUGUCUUUUUAAUGAGGUCUGGAAUGAAGGAUUGGUCGAAGAAAAAGCUUUCUUUUUAUCAAGUUAUGAAAUUAAUUAAUUAGUAAAAAGGCUAAUAUGAAUUUGUUGGACGACAAGACCCUAUUGAGCUUAAUUAUAUAAUUUUACUGGGGCGGUAAGAUAAGAAAAAAAUCUUAUUUUAAAUAAAUAAAAUUUAUUGACCCAAUAAUAUUGUGGUUAAGAUAAAGCUACCAUAGGGAUAACAGCUUAAUUUCUUUUUGAAGUUCUUAUUUAAAGAGAAGAUUGAGACCUCGAUGUUGAAUUAAAAGAUCUUUUUAGUGAAGAAACUAAAUUUAGAAAGUCUGUUCGACUUUUAAAUUUUUACGUGAUCUGAGUUCAGACCGGCCAUGGGAGC
rnacentral:rRNA from 1 species